AUGUUCGACAAAUUUGGAGAGGUUAUAUAUGAAUCAAUGCAGUACAAAGUAGAAGAGGUCACCAAAGGAGAAACUUACCUCGUUCGCCGAUACCAUCCAGAGAAACAUGAAAAGUGGUGCAGGGUUGUGUAUAAAGUAGUUGUCGAGAAAGAGGGGAAUGAACUAAAGUGCGAGUGUGCUAACUUUGAGCACACAGGUUUGCUCUGCUGCCAUUCAGUCAAGGUGAGUAUGAAAAAAGAAAAAGAAAAUCCCUUCCACUCCACACUAUUCUACCGGUCAAAAGAGGCCAAAUAA
rnacentral:rRNA from 1 species